GAAAGUAGCUCAGCUGGUAGAGCAUCACCUUGCCAAGGUGGGGGUCGCGAGUUCGAAUCUCGUCUUUC
rnacentral:tRNA from 1 species